rnacentral:rRNA from 1 species
AAGAUUAAGCCAUGCAUGUCUAAGUACAUGCCGAAACAAGGCGAAACCGCGAAUGGCUCAUUAAAUCAGUUAUGGUUCCUUAGAUCGUUUCUUCCUACUUGGAUAACUGUGGCAAUUCUAGAGCUAAUACAUGCAGUGAGCCCGAAGCCCCUCGGGGCGACGGGUGCUUUUAUUAGACCAAGAUCAAUCGGGCUUCGGUCCGUUUUGUGUGGUGACUCUGGAUAACUUUGUGCUGAUCGCACGGCCACGAGCCGGCGACGUUUCUUUCAAGUGUCUGCCUUAUCAACUGUCGAUGGUAGGUUAUGCGCCUACCAUGGUUGUUACGGGUAACGGAGAAUCAGGGUUCGAUUCCGGAGAGGGAGCCUGAGAAACGGCUACCACAUCCAAGGAAGGCAGCAGGCGCGCAAAUUACCCACUCCCGGCACGGGGAGGUAGUGACGAAAAAUAACAAUACGGGACUCUUUUGAGGCCCCGUAAUUGAAAUGAGUACACUCUAAAUCCUUUAACGAGGAUCCAUUGGAGGGCAAGUCUGGUGCCAGCAGCCGCGGUAAUUCCAGCUCCAAUAGCGUAUACUAAAGUUGCUGCGGUUAAAAAGCUCGUAGUUGGAUCUCAGUUGCAGGCGGGAAGUGCGUGGACACCACGUUACGUCCCGUGCUGGACAUCAUGCCUGUCCUGGCUUGGUUCCCUUCAUCAGGUGCCUUGCUAUGGCCGGCGCGUUUACUUUGAAAAAAUUAGAGUGCUCAACGCAGGCGAUUCGCCUGAAUAACAGUGCAUGGAAUAAUAGAACAAGAUCCUGUUUCUGUUCUGUUGGUUUUUGGAAUACAGGAUAAUGAUUAAGAGGGACAGACGGGGGCAUUCGUAUUGCGGCGCUAGAGGUGAAAUUCUUGGACCGUCGCAAGACGAACUACUGCGAAAGCAUUUGCCAAGAAUGUUUUCUUUGAUCAAGAACGAAAGUUAGAGGUUCGAAGGCGAUCAGAUACCGCCCUAGUUCUAACCAUAAACGAUGCCAACCAGCGAUCCGCCUGAGUUACUCAAAUGACUCGGCGGGCAGCUUCCGGGAAACCAAAGUAUUUGGGUUCCGGGGGAAG